rnacentral:tRNA from 1 species
AGGCGAUUAGCUCAGUGGGAGAGCACUUCCCUGACACGGAAGGGGUCGGCGGUUCGAAUCCGCCAUCGCCUA